AGUGAAGUCACUUUUUUUAUGUUUAGAUUUGUUAAUUUUAUAAAUUGAUUUCGUUUGUUUAAUUGCUUACUUUUAUGUUGCUUUAUAAUUUUGAUUGUUAACGAUUUGUCUAUCAACUCAAUUUCAAUCUUAGUUGAAUAACUAUUUGUAAUUAUCGAUACAUGUCAGCUUGCUCAUUCUUAUGCAUAUUUUUUUAUGUUUCAUUCAACCUGCUUGACUUUUUUUAUGUUAACACAUCUUUGAAAUUGUAUUCAAAGUGGUACUCAUCAAGUGUUUUAAGUGGUUGGAAAGAGUUGGCCGAUUUAAUAAAAAACGAUGUUUCUGCAAGGUUCAAUGGACAUUGAAAAUAUAAGGACGACCAUGCAAUGGACAAGCAAUAGACAAGGAUAAUUCAAUGAAUUUUGAUAUAACUGCUAUUAUUCCAGAUUGUGGACUAAUCAGGAUCUGAUAUGAUACAAAGAGCAAGCAAUCAUCUGGAUGUUAUCAAUAGUUAUGGCCGUGAAGAUAUUGAAAAAGCCUUCGAUUGUUACAUUUGUUGGUAUUAUUACUGGAUGGCUUUAAUCAUGAUUUGAACAACAUAUUCUAUAUGAUUUGUGGCGAUAGUAUUUCUUUAUCCAGUUUGUAUAACAAUCAGAUAACUUUGGAUCUUAUAUCAUUUUGGUUGAAUCUUUCUUGUUUGUUAUCCAUUUAACCAGCCAUUGAUUGGCUUUACUAAAAGCAUCAUCAUUAUCUUCACAAUCACCAUCAUCAUCUUCAUCUGUUUCGCCUUUAUCAUGAUUGUUCAUUUUUCACGCCUUGAUGGUACAAUAAAAGCUGAUGUUGAUAGCAACAAAAGUGUUUUCAAUGGACACAAUAUCACAUUUUGUUUUGAUGCAAGCAUUUUCCUCUUCUCCAUCCAAAGGUCUCAAAUAUUAUUGCAACAAAGGAUGGCUGGAUGAUAAAAGAGGAGAAAGAUAAAUGAAAAGAAAGGCAAAGAAAGGGAUGAAGAUGUUACCCAAAAAGAAAGGUUGCUCAGGGUUACCCUGUGAAGUUAUCGAAGGAGGAAUUUUUGGCUUGAAAUAAAAAAAUAACAGAGCUGAUAUUUUUGCUGCUGUUGACUAUCAUCUUAUUGCUGGUUGAUUCUUCUGAUCCAUUAAGCUUUUUAGAUCAAUUUCCUAUUGCGAUUGAGAAGAUAUUUUUCCCCAAAGAAUCUUAUUGAAACUGUCUCUUUCUUUCACUUGCCUUCUCACACAAGCACACACACUUUAAGACACAAUCAUCUUGAGCUUCAUCUUUUUUCAUCAUCAGUUUCCUUUCUUCCACCAAUCAAUUCAACUUUGAAACCUUUUCGCCAUCUUCAUCAACCAUCAUCAUCUUUAGACCUCUAUUAAUAGAAACAGAAUCAACAAGCUUUCUUUCAAUUUGAUUAUUUUUGAUUCAACUUGAUGUUGCUAAUAGUAACACAGGAAGACUCUUAAUUGCAGCUAAUCUCAACUAAUAUUCACUUGUCACUCGAUUUCCGGUUCAACAGUUAUCAUCAUGAAAUGUGUGAGGCCAAUAGGAACCAAAGAAACAAAAUAAAAAAAAAGUUAACAAGCAAAUUGUCAAAAGCAAAUUAGCCUUAUUACCAGUAACCAACAUAUAAUGCAUUACCUUUUACUGUUUCACUUUUCGCUUAAAAGAUGACAAAUAAUCUUGAAUGAACCGCAAAUUUGGUGAAUUGGAUUUUUGUUUGGCAAAAAAAGGAGAAGUUAAUUAAAUAAAAACAGAAUUACCUGCAAA